AUAAAUUACCAUUGGUAAUUACCUAUAAGCUGUGACAAACCACUAAAAUAUAGAAUAACCAUUGAGAAUAACAAGUUUCAUAUGCGUAUUUAACCGAUAUGCGGCUAAAUGACGAGAAGAAUUCUUUUUUCGGUUUCAGGUUUGCAUUGCAUUCUCAAUGUGGGGAAACAUCUCGAUUUUUUGUUCUUCAAAGCAUUUGACCAGAUGCACUCACAUCUUCUCCUGCAGCCAGGUAACAGAGCAAGGGUUCACACCAUUAGCCAAAGCAACUGCAUUUGCCACAGCAAAAAGACCACAAUCUGAUGAUCUUUUUUGAUGUUGUUGGAGAAUCACUUUGACGUUUAAAGAACCAUCCUGUUCUUGAAGGUUUUUGUAAACAUUCUGGAGUUGCCUUUUUAAUGAUGAAUUCAGGCUCGUACUCAUAGAUUCAAAGACUACUAUUACAUCAGUUAUGGAUGUAGAAACCACACAGUGGUGACCAAUAUUGUGACAUUGAAUUGCUUGGGUGAUAUUUUCAGGAAUAUUUAUGAGUUUGUUACUGUAUGUGACUGCUACGACUGUGUUCAGACCUCCCACUCCGGUACCAAGAUCACCUAUUAAUUUCUGUGCUGCAUCAAUAUGGUCAUCUGAAAGCCAUCCAUUUAGAUUUAGAAGCACGUCUUUCUGAGCAUAUGACAACUUUAUUCCUUGAAUAUCUACCCAACACUCCUCAAAAUUUUCAAUUUUCUCAUUGUUGUUCAUUUUCAUCUUUUUUGCUAGUUGCUCUUCAAUUACUUGUAAUUUGCGUUUCUCAUGCUUCUCUUCUUUUUCAAGCUUCUCUUCUAAUACUUCAAUCUUUUCACUUUUUUAAUCAGCUGCUCUUCCCACUCGUUUACCUGAACACCUCUUGCAUUUUCGUUUUGGCAAAGCAGAUUGUGACCUACACUUUGAUAUUUGUUUCUUUUUUGGAGAUAAAGACUUGUUUUUCAAUGAAAUUCCAUUUUCCUCAGGAUGAUUUUUUCUUGUGUAUUGUAUUACCUCUUGUAACAUCUCCAGGGUUUUGUCCAAAACUUUCUCAUCAUCCAAAAUGUAAAGCUCAUCCUGAAUUUGUUUGACUUUUUGAACACACUUAUUUCUAACAUUUUGGAUUGAGUUGGAGCAAUAAUCUGUUGUGGUAAGAAAACAGUCAGAAGAAUGAGCUUUUUCAUAAUUAGGACAUUGCGCAAAGUUUCCUGGCAGUGACUUGUGUUUGAUAUCAGUCUGAGUUGGGCUUAUAUUGGCUUUUGGUUGAAUUAUAUGGGGAUCUAAAGUAAAUAGGGGAUGAUUGGAAAACUUCACUCCAAUUGAUUCCCACCCAACAUUUGGUUGUUGAACAACAACACAGAUGUGUUUACAAGGCAUCUUCCGACUCCUGUAAUCAAGACAUUGGCAGGAAUAGUCGUUGAUAUGUGGAUGAUGAGCUUGUGACAGUGAAAUGUUUUGUCGUUUCCAUCUUGAUGUUUUUACUUGGAAUGUCAGAUUCCAUCCGUUGAAUAAUAUGAGAAACAACAUACUUUGGUCUAUUGUGCAGGAACUUUGGGAUUUGUUUGCUGUAGGACUUGUAUGAAUCGGAUGAUUUGAUAUUCUGUUCCUUAUAUCUAUCAAGAGAAAAUUGUUUCCACAGUGGAUUCUCGUGACUGAUGAUGUUCAGGACUUCUGAUAUGGAAUACUUGCUCUUUUGGAGUCAUUUUCACCCACUGGCUACUAUACUUGUUUAUUGUUACACUUUGACUUUGCAUCAAAUGUAUCAUGUCAGAAAUCCUUUGUUGUUCAUGAUUAUAAUGCAAACAAAAGAACAAUUAUGGUGAUGUCAAAUUUUAUUUCCAUAAUUUCAAUAUUGGGUAUAUACCCAACUAAAUGAUAUUGCUCAAUACUCUUUUUGGUGCUAUAAUCUGCAUGUAUUUUUUCUCUUCAGCAUAAUUCAUUUGUAUUUGUGCAUCGAUAUCCCAUCUAUUGCUUGAUGGCUACAGUUGGAUAUUUUGCUGCUCAUGUGAUGCAAAUAGAAAGCAAUUUGUUGAAGCCCUACCUAAUAAUAUACAAUUAGAUCCUCAAAAAGAUAUACCAUAUCCCAGUUGCAUACACAUAUUAGCAAUGUAAAAAUAUCUGGUUGUGUAUGAUAGAAAGUUUGGUAUUGAAGCCAAAGAUUUUAUUGAAAAAAAAUCCACAUCCAUGAUGUAGUCUCUUUUCAGUGAUCAUUCCUACCAUGAGAUGCAACCUGAAGAAGACUUGUUUAGUGCAGUGUGCAGGGAGGUUCAGUGGAUUGCUGCAAAACCAGUGAAUAGUCCAUGGGGGGUUUGUACUUUUGUGUGUUCAAAAGUAACGCCGCCCCAGCCUGAGUUAAAAUGUUGCAGCUGUUCGUCAUAUCAUUGCAUUCAUGUGACAACCAUUGCAAAAGCCAUGCAAAUCGUUGAAGAGGAUGAAAUGGAUUCUCCAUUGGCACUUUUUAAGUUUUCCUUUGGAAUUACACCAGAGAUGCGAGACUAUUUUGAAUUGGCUACACUUAGCAAAGAAAAGGUUUCUUUAUUUGAAACAGGUAAUUAGAAUGAUGCAAGCGAUUUUACUGAUCUUCCUGAAAAAAAUGGUCAUAAAAUUUUGGCGCCAUCUGAAAGUGGUAUUUGUUCUUGUGGUGCAGAGUGGGAUAAACGUUCUUUUCAAGAUGAAUGGUUGUACGUAGACUUUUGUUCAGUUGCGUACUUUUAUUCAAUCCAUGAUGUGAAGGUGUAUUGUAGACCUUGCUCCUCUUGUGCUACGAAAAAGCAUUAUGAUGGCAUUGAAAACAGGAUUGUAUGGUUUGGAUCAUAUGCAAUAUCUCAUGCCGUUCUAAAAGAUUACAUUCGGCUUUUCAUAACGUCGAGUUUACCUAUGUACAAAUAUUAUGUUGCAUAUGUACAAAGGCAAGUGUCUUCGGGUAAUUUGAAUUUCCCAAAGGAAGUAACUUACGCCAAGUUUCGUCUCGCUAUCAUUGCCAUGAUACGGUUGCUUGAUAUUGUUUUGACAAUGGGUUUUUUUGUGAAUUAUGGGGAAGAAUUCCCCAAAAGGUGGUGAUGGAUGGAACAACUCUUGGAAUACAGAAAACUUUCUUACCAAAUAAUUUAAGAGAGUCUGAUACUGGAUUGCUAGAUGGAAGA